AGACCCAAACAAAAUUGGCGGUUUUGCCUGACGGAAUUUGCUCUCUCUCUCUCUCUCUCUCUCUCUCUCUCUCCCUGUGGGAAUUUUGUGUUCGUCUUUCAGCUGUCGAAAGAGUAGGUCGUAUUUUCUAUCCAGCCAACUACAGAAUUUGAUUGUGAGGUGGUAGUUGAGAUGAUAGAAGGUGGACGUAUCCGGCUUAAUAGGUGGCAGCAGGCGGCCAUUGCAGUUGGUUCGGCGGUUGGUGCAUUACUAGACCCACGAAGAGCAGAUCUAAUAGCAGCCCUUGGGGAGACUACUGGAAAGGCAGCUUUUGUAAGAGUGCUAGAAAGAAUGAAGAGAAGCCCAGAAGGCAGAGCAGUUUGAUCAACCAAGUGUGAUAUCUGUAAAUGUGGGGCAUGCGUGGGAACUACCACCGAACACAUUCGGGGCUGCCUAUGCAAACUUCAUGGGAUCCAGGAACUUCUCACCAGAUGAACGACCACCAGUGCGGUUCAUGGACACAGACGAACUGGCAUAUGUGGCCAUGCGGGCUCGUGAGGUGCAUGACUUAUGGCACACCCUUUUUGGCCUCCCCACCAACUUAAUUGGCGAGUCAGCACUCAAGGUGAUUGAGUUUAAUCAAAUGUACCUUCCCAUGUGCCUGCUGUCUGUUAUAGGAGGCACCGCAAGAUUCAAUGAGAAGCGGAGGAAAUUGUUCUUUCAGCACUACUUCCCGUGGGCCAUCCGGGCUGGCAUGCAAUGCACAGAUCUAAUGUGCAUAUACUAUGAACGGCACUUUCACGAGGAUUUGGAAGAUGUUAGGAGGAAAUGGGGGAUAAUUCCUGCUCCUCUUCCCCCUACACAAAAUGUUACUUGAGCAGCAGUAGGCUAGACAAUACACCAUGCUGGGUUUUUAAGUUGUCCCGCCGUAGUACUUGUGUUCUAGUAUGAAAUGAUUGGUGAGGCAAAACCUUAAACUAACACGCAUAGACAACCUCUUGUAUUUGUCUCGUAUACUUGGACUCUUGCCUAUUCUCAUGAUCAGUAAAGUUUUGUUUACCAAUUAAAAAAAAAGGAUUGGUGA